ACCGUGAAACCGAAUGAAUCACUUCUCCUCACUACGAAACCCUACCCACUGUCGCCCUCUUCAGCUUCUCUCCAUUUUAUUUCAGUCUGUUAGUCUUUACACCAAGCACCACCAACGCCUUGCCACCGGGCUUGUGUUGUUUUUUAUUUUGUCAAUCUACCUCUUGCAAUCAUCACGGGACAAACUAGCAAGUUCUCUGGUUCUCCCCUCUCUCGACUCGAAAACCCAACGGAGAUCAAACCCGUGCACCUCUCUCUCACGACGGCUGUCGACACUCCUUGCGACGGCUCUGGGCUCAUCACGGUUGAGUUUUCGAUUUGGUUGUCUACAUUUCAGGUAUGAAAUAGCUCUGGGCUCCCUCUGUUUCUUCAUGGUUUCGAUGUGUUUCUAUCCCUUCACGGUUUUGAUUUGUGCUAUUUCUUCAUUUGUUGUUCUUGGUUUUAGAUUAGGGUUUUAGAUUAAGCUUAACUAACAACAUGUUUUUGCACUGAGAAAGAGAGGGUUUCUGGUUUCGAUGGCUUAAAUUUACAUGAAAGACUAGGGUUUCAAUGAUGAUGAUUUCGAUGAUGCUGGUUUUGAUUAUGCUGGUUUUAGAUUAGGGUUUCGAUGAUGAUGAUUUCGAUGAUGCUGGUUUCGAUUAUGCUGGUUUUAGAUUAGGGUUUCUUCAAUGUACAAACUGGUUUUGGUUUGGGGCCAAACCGAAUAUUGGGUUACACUUAUUUAAACUUGGUAUAACUGAAUCAAACUGGUUCUGGUUUUGGCCCCUGUUUUUACUUGAUCUAUGUACACUUAUGGAACUCAUGCUUUAACCCCUGUUUUUAGCUUUAUUUUACAAUUUGUGCAAUGUGUUUGCUGGUUUUGCUGGUUCUCUUUGGCUUGUGGUUUGUUAUUGAAGCCCUACAAUAUGUGCACCCUAUUUUGCUUAAUAUGUGCAAAAUUUAAUAACAUUUUGUCCUUCAAUAUUUUGUUGAAGGAUGAAUACUUUAAUUGAUGAGGAUCGCUUCUUCACCACACUGUUGGAAAGUGGUGAGGGUGGCAGUAACAACCCUACUAUGGAUGCUGCUUUCGUUGAUGUCCAAGUGACACAACCCCAACGGGAAGAAAGGGCACCUAAACAAAAAUCCCAGCGGGGUGUGUCAUUUACUAUUGAGGAAUAUACUCUCCUCAUUUCAGCUUGGCUUAACGUUAGUAUAGAUUCCAUUCGGGGGACUGACCAAACCUCCACACAACUGUGGUCUAGAAUUUAUGAUUACUAUUCCACUUAUAAAAAACAUAACGGUCAAGACCGUUCUGUGAAUUCUUUGACCAAUCGGUAGUCAGCCAUUCAAAAAUGUGUGAAUAAAUUUUGUGGUUCCAUGGCCCAAGUUGAAGGAAUGCAUCCAAGCGGUGCAACCGAGCAAGAUAAGAUUGACAAGGCAAAAAUCUUAUACCGAGAGACCCAAAAAACCAACUUCACCAUGGAUCAUUGUUGGAAUCUUUUGAGACACCAAGCGAAAUGGCAAACACACGUGGACAGCAUAAGAAGAAGAGACAAUGUUUCACGUCCAGUUGUGUUGCUGGAAAUUUGUGCUUCUGGAUGUGGUUUUGGACUGCUGCUGGAUGCUGGAUGCUAGAGUUGUUGUUGCUGCUGGAUGCUGGACUUGUUGAUGCUGUUGUUUUGUGGUUGCUGCUGCUGGACUCCUUGUUUGUCCCAAUGAUUCGUGGUUGCUGCUGCUGCUAGAUGCUGGAGUUGUGUCUGCUGCUGGAUGCUGGACUUGUUGAUGCUGCUGUUUUGUGGUUGCUGCUGCUGGACUCCUUGUUUGUCCCAAUGAUUCAUGGUUGCUGCUGCUGCUGGAUGCUGAAGUUGUUGCUGCUGUUGGAUGCUGGACUUGUUGCUGCUGCUGCUGCUGCUGCUAGAUGCUAGAGUUUGUGUUAUAAUGAUCUUGAAUCAAAUUUCUAUUGUAAUGAAUUUGUAUCAAAAUCAACUUUUUGGAACUUGUAUCAAGUUGAUUUUGAUACAUUGGAUUAAUUGCUGCUGUUUAUUAGCACAUUUGAUUCAUUUUUUAUGUAUAUAAAUUUGAUGUAUUUAUUAUAUAUGGAAUU